rnacentral:rRNA from 1 species
CAGCCGCCACGGUAAUACGAAGGGUGCAAGCGUUACUCGGAAUUACUGGGCGUAAAGCGUGCGUAGGUGGUGGUUUAAGUCCGUUGUGAAAGCCCUGGGCUCAACCUGGGAAUUGCAGUGGAUACUGGGUCACUAGAGUGUGGUAGAGGAUAGUGGAAUUUCCGGUGUAGCAGUGAAAUGCGUAGAGAUCGGAAGGAACAUCUGUGGCGAAGGCGACUAUCUGGGCCAACACUGACACUGAGGCACGAAAGCGUGGGGAGCAAACAGGAUUAGAUACCCGAGUAGUCCCUGUCUCUUAUAA